UGGGGAAUAUUGCACAAUGGGGGAAACCCUGAUGCAGCCAUGCCGCGUGUGUGAAGAAGGCCUUCGGGUUGUAAAGCACUUUCAGCGAGGAGGAAAGGUUGAUGCCUAAUACGUAUCAACUGUGACGUUACUCGCAGAAGAAGCACCGGCUAACUCCGUGCCAGCAGCCGCGGUAAUACGGAGGGGGCAAGCGUUAAUCGGAAUUACUGGGCGUAAAGCGCACGCAGGCGGUUGGAUAAGUUAGAUGUGAAAGCCCCGGGCUCAACCUGGGAAUUGCAUUUAAAACUGUCCAGCUAGAGUCUUGUAGAGGGGGGUAGAAUUCCAGGUGUAGCGGUGAAAUGCGUAGAGAUCUGGAGGAAUACCGGUGGCGAAGGCGGCCCCCUGGACAAAGACUGACGCUCAGGUGCGAAAGCGUGGGGAGCAAACA
rnacentral:rRNA from 1 species